rnacentral:rRNA from 1 species
AACAAACAGGGAUUGCCCUAGUAACGGCGGAGUGAACAGGCAAGAGCUCAGAUUUGAAAGCCUUUUUGGCAUUGUAUUCUGAAGUCAGUUUCCUGAGUAUCGGUGUUUAAGUCUUCUGGAAAGGAGCGCCAUGGAGGGUGAUAGCCCCGUACGACACCUCACUCAUUGUAGGAUUCUGACGUGGAGUCGAGUUGUUUGGGAAUGCAGCUCAAAAGGGUGGUAUGCUCCAUCUAAAGCUAAAUAUCUGUGAGAGACCGAUAGCGAACAAGUACUGUGAAGGAAAGAUGAAAAGAACUUUGAAAAGAGAGUGAAAAAGUACGUGAAAUUGUUGAAAUGGAAGGAUAUGCCGCUAACAAUGUAGAGCCGUGUUUGGGGGGAAGACAAAAGCUGAAGAAUGUAUCUCUUUUAGGGAAUUAUAACUUCAGUCAAUAUUCCCAUCCGGGCGCGAGGACCUCAGGCUCUACUAAAUGGUGGUCUAUCACCCGUCUUGAAACACGGACCAAGGAGUCUAUUGCCUGCGCGAGUAUUUGGGUGGCAAACCCAUAUGCGAAGUGAAAGCGAGUGGUUCCAACCUUCGGGGGCAGAAUCAGCCGACCGUUCAUAGGAACGGAUUGAGUGGAGCGCAAGUGAUGGGACCCGAAAGAUGGUGAACUAUGCCUGAAAUAGGGUGAAGCCAGAGGAAAACUCUGGUGGAGGCUCGCAGCGGUUCUGACGUGCAAAUCGAUCGUCAAAUUUGGGUAUAGGGGCGAAAGACUAAUCGAACCAUCUAGUAAGCUGGUUUCCUGCCGAAGU